AUGUGAAGGGACAAAAUGGCGGGGAACGUGAGGGGAGAAAAAGGGCGGGAAAACGUGAGGGGAGAAAAGGCAGCAAAUUGAAGGCAAAAAGGACAAAAAACUUGAGCGAAAAGGAUGGGAAAUGAGAGGAAGAAAAGGUAGGAAAUAAGGGGAGAAAAGGUGGGAAAUGUGAGGGGCAAAAAGGGCGGGAAAUGUGAGGAGAAAAAGGGUGGAAAAUGUGAGGGGAGAAAAG